ensembl:lncRNA
AUGUCUUCCUCAUCCUCAUCUUCCAGUGACAGCAACAGCAAAGCAACAUCGAAGGAAGAUUUAAAAGAUCUAUCAACAUCUACUCCAGCCAAUGAGGACAAAACAACCUUGCCAACAAAAUGUGAAACUGGAGGUACAGCCACUUUAGAUGUGAGUCCCAGUGAAAACCAUAGAGAGGAGCGACACCGUUCAAAACUUAGCAGUGUGACAUCAGUGAGACACAGAUCCAAGACUCACACUCAGUUGAUGAAAGAGACAUUGGGCCAGAUCAAAGCUGAGAUGCAGAAGAUCUCUAAAGUCCACCUGCUUCAGCGCCCUGAGAGGAAAGCAUACCAUCCAUACAGAGACACUACUGAGAUUGACCAUCUCCUCACAACGGUAAGUCUGCCUCUCUUCUGUUAAUACAGCGUGAUAGUGAUCAGAUGGACUCUGUGGAACAUCUACACUUUACCCUUUGUUUAAUAGAAUUCAUCUUUCAAAAGGAAAAUUAAAUAAAGAGCUAGAAAAUGUCCA